GCUACCGGUUGGGUUAUCGCUCCGUUUUGCGGGGAGGAAAGUCUGGACAGCGCAGGGCAAUGCACCGGUGAAGAGCCGGGUAUCGGGUUCCGGGUCAAAAACCCGGGAUUCGAUAACAGAAAGUGCCACAGAAAAUUACAGCCCCGGGUCUUGCCCGGGGUGAUGGUGAAAACGUGAGGUAAGAGCUCACGACUAUGCCUGGCAACAGGCAUAGGGGGUAAACCUUGCAUGCUGAAAUGCCACGUAUACCAUCGGCUGAAGGCGGCUCGCCUGAGCCCCGGCUUUUCGGCCGGGGUCCGAUGGAGGGUAGGCAGAUUGAUCCGCCGGGUAACCGGCAGGACAGAUAAAUGAUAACCAUUCACCGAAAGGUGGAAACAGAAUCCGGCUUACAGACCGGUAGCAAGU
rnacentral:RNase_P_RNA from 1 species